GACGUAGGGCGCGAGCGUUGUCCGGAUUUAUUGGGCGUAAAGAGCUCGUAGGCGGCUCGUUGCGUCGGCUGUGAAAACCCGCGGCUCAACCGUGUGGUCUGCAGUCGAUACGGGCAGGCUAGAGUUCGGUAGGGGAGACUGGAAUUCCUGGUGUAGCGGUGAAAUGCGCAGAUAUCAGGAGGAACACCGGUGGCGAAGGCGGGUCUCUGGGCCGAUACUGACGCUGAGGAGCGAAAGCGUGGGGAGCGAACAGG
rnacentral:rRNA from 1 species